rnacentral:rRNA from 1 species
UACGGAGGGGGCAAGCGUUGUCCGGAUUUAUUGGGCGUAAAGAGCGUGUAGGCGGUUAGGUAGGUCCGUUGUGAAAACUCGAGGCUCAACCUCGAGAUGCCGAUGGAAACCAUCUGACUAGAGUCCGGAAGAGGAGAGUGGAAUUCCUGGUGUAGCGGUGAAAUGCGCAGAUAUCAGGAAGAACACCCGUGGCUAAGGCGGCUCUCUAGUACGUGACUGACGCUGAGACGCGAAAGCGUGGGGAGCGAACAGG